rfam:Gossypium arboreum cultivar AKA8401 contig_4892_9, whole genome shotgun sequence.
AAACCAUGCAUCGGGCAUUUUCUAAUUAAUUCAUUGAAUCGCUCCCAAGCUUUAUAUAAUGUCUUAUCCUAAUAUUGUCGAAAAGAGGUAAUAUCAUUCUUUAAUUU